CCGGCCGGGUGGGCGGUCGCGGAACCCCGGGGGUUUCGAGGAAAGUCCGGGCUCCACAGGGCAGGACGCAGGGGAAAUCCCUGGUGCAGCAAUGCAGGGAAAGUGCCACAGAAACGAUACCUGAUCCGGUUUUCCGGUUUCAAGGGUGAAAUGCAGGCAAACCCCGUCCGGUGCAAGGCCAAAUAGGAGGAGUGCCCCGCAGGGGGCAGGGAGCGGCCCGUUCCCUCUGCUUCUCGGGUUGGCCGCUGGAGGUGUUCGGUAACGGGCACCCAAGAUGGAUGGCCGUCACUGUUUAAUACAGUACAGGACCCGGCUUACAGCCCGACCGGAUAC
rnacentral:RNase_P_RNA from 1 species